rnacentral:rRNA from 1 species
AAGGAGGGAGCCGUCUAAGGCAAAACCAAUGACUGGGGUGAAGUCGUAACAAGGUAGCCGUAUCGGAAGGUGCGGCUGGAUCACCUCCUUUCUAAGGAA